CUCGAGAGUGCUAGCUCGUGCGAAGACUUUUUUCUUGGUUGAUCUAUAUAUUUUUUUUUUAAAUCUUUGAAAUUUUUUUUAGAGAUUGAAGAUAGACUUCUAGAAGAGAUGAAGAAGUAAAGAAAGAUGAAAAAGAAAAUAAUUUUUUUUAAUUUAUUCCCUCUUCUCAAAUCCAAAAGAUCAAAAAUCUGAAAUUCAUAUCAUGAACCAUGUCC
rnacentral:lncRNA from 1 species